rnacentral:rRNA from 1 species
CCUACGGGUGACAGCAGUGGGGAAUAUUGCACAAUGGGGGAAACCCUGAUGCAGCGACGCCGCUGGAGUGAAGAAGUAUUUCGGUAUGUAAAGCUCUAUCAGCAGGGAAGAAAAUGACGGUAACUGAUUAAGAAGCCCCGGCUAACUACGCGCCAGCAGCCGCGGUAAUACGUAGGGGGCAAGCGUUAUACGGAUUUACGGGGUGGAAAGGGAGCGUAGACGGCAGCACAAGUCUGGAGUGAAAUGCCGGGGCUUAACCCCGGAACUGCUUUGGAAACUGUGCAGCUAGAGUGCAGGAGAGGUAAGUGGAAUUCCUAGUGUAGCGGUGAAAUGCGUAGAUAUUAGGAGGAACACCAGUGGCGAAGGCGGCUUACUGGACUGUAACUGACGUUGAGGCUCGAAAGCGUGGGGAGCAAACAGGAUUAGAUACCCGGGUAGUC